AAUUCUCAACUGCCUUUUAGCAUUUAUGUUAAGGUGAAGUUGGAGUUGGAGGAUAAUUGCUGGCGCAACUUAGGUUGCCUGUUAGCUCCUCUUAAAUAGAUGAGCUUUUCUGAUAGAUCAUAGCUCAGUAAUACUGAUGUGAUAAUUAUCUACAUUAGAUGUGAAAGCUAUGAAUAGAGUAACUUCAAUUAUGAAGAAGCUCCUAUAGAAAGGAUAUGUUUUUGGGAAUAAUAAACCUAUGACUUAUGACAA
rnacentral:misc_RNA from 1 species